GAUGAAGAACGUAGCGAAAUGCGAUACUUGGUGUGAAUUGCAGAAUCCCGUGAACCAUCGAGUCUUUGAACGCAAGUUGCGCCCGAAGCCAUUAGGCCGAGGGCACGCCUGCCUGGGCGUCACACGUCGUUGCCCCCCCAUCUACUCCUUCGGGAUUGCGGGGGGUGGAUGAUGGCCUCCCGUGCGCCUCGCCGCGCGGUUGGCAUAAAUGCCAAGUCCUCGGCGACGCACGCCACGACAAUCGGUGGUUGCGAAACCUCGGUUGCCCGUCGUGUGGGUCGUCGCGCAUCGAGGGCUCGAAAAAAUUGCCGGGUUCCGGCUCGGCUUUCAACGCGACCCCAGGUCAGGCGGGGUUACCCGCUGAAUUUAAGCAUAUCAAUAAGCGGAGGA
rnacentral:misc_RNA from 1 species